UGCCAGCCGCCGCGGUAACACGGAGGGAUCGAACGUUAAUCGGAAUUACUGGGCGUAAAGCGCGCGUAGGCGGUUCGGUAAGUGGGAUGUGAAAGCCCCGGGCUCAACCUGGGAACAGCAUUCCAAACUGUCGGACUAGAGUCUGGUAGAGGGAGGUAGAAUUUCCUGUGUAGCGGUGAAAUGCGUAGAUAUAGGAAGGAAUACCGAUGGCGAAGGCAGCCUCCUGGACCAAGACUGACGCUGAGGUGCGAAAGCGUGGGGAGCAAACAGGAUUAGAUA
rnacentral:rRNA from 1 species